rnacentral:rRNA from 1 species
AUUGAACGCUGGCGGCAGGCCUAACACAUGCAAGUCGAGCGGAUGAAGGUAGCUUGCUAUCUGAUUCAGCGGCGGACGGGUGAGUAAUGCCUAGGCAUCUGCCUGGUAGUGGGGGACAACGUUUCGAAAGGAACGCUAAUACCGCAUACGUCCUACGGGAGAAAGUGGGGGAUCUUCGGACCUCAUGCUAUCAGAUGAGCCUAGGUACGAUGAGGUAGUUGGUGAGGUAAAGGCUCACCAAGGCGACGAUCGUUAACUGGUCUGAGAGGAUGAUCAGUCACACUGGAACUGAGACACGGUCCAGACUCCUACGGGAGGCAGCAGUGGGGAAUAUUGGACAAUGGGCGAAAGCCUGAUCCAGCCAUGCCGCGUGUGUGAAGAAGGUCUUCGGAUUGUAAAGCACUUUAAGUUGGGAGGAAGGGCAGUAAGUUAAUACCUUGCUGUUUUGACGUUACCAACAGAAUAAGCACCGGCUAACUUCGUGCCAGCCGCCGCUGUAACAC